CAAACGAGAUAUGGAGGGCUGAGACGGGCCGCGGACCUCAGGUUCCAGCCCCCAACAGCCAGUCACUCUGGGCUCUUGCUCUGACUGCAGGGAUGAGGGUUUUUAUUAGCCAGCAUGAGGUUCUGACUGUUUCGGCAAUGCCCGGGAUGACUCGGAGCAGACAAGCUAGGGGGUUCAUGGCUUUGUUAAGGGCGGGAAAAGUUGAGACAUUUUGGUUAAUACAGUUUUAUGCAAGCAGCAUUGGAACCACAAGAACGCCUUCUAACCUUCAGGCCACCACCACCCGAUGCUUUACUGCCUGCAGGAUGGUGUGGUUGCCGCAUAUACAGUAAGCCAAGCUACAUCUUCUUAUUAUCUCAUGUUAUCUGCAGGUCUUC